rnacentral:rRNA from 1 species
UACGUAGGGUGCAAGCGUUAAUCGGAAUUACUGGGCGUAAAGCGUGCGCAGGCGGUUGUGCAAGACAGAUGUGAAAUCCCCGGGCUCAACCUGGGAAUUGCAUUUGUGACUGCACGGCUAGAGUGUGUCAGAGGGGGGUAGGAAUUCCACGUGUGAGCAGUGAAAUGCGUAGAGAUGAUGGAGGAAUACCGAUGGCGAAGGCAGCCCCCUGGGAUAACACUGACGCCUGCAUGCACGAAAGCGUGGGGAGCAAACAGG